rnacentral:rRNA from 1 species
UACGUAAGGUGCAGGCGUUAAUCGGAAUUACUGGGCGUAAAGCGUGCGCAGGCGGUUUGCUAAGACAGGUGUGAAAUCCCCGGGCUUAACCUGGGAACUGCGCUUGUUACUGGCAGGCUUGAGUGUGGCAGAGGGGGGUGGAAUUCCACGUGUAGCAGUGAAAUGCGUAGAGAUGUGGAGGAACACCGAUGGCGAAGGCAGCCCCCUGGGCUAACACUGACGCUCAUGCACGAAAGCGUGGGGAGCAAACAGG